UUCCAGGAUGUUUUCACAUCCAUACAUUUUAUUAUUUAUUUAAUGU
rfam:Cavia porcellus supercont2_8 genomic scaffold, whole genome shotgun sequence.